UACCAUACGUGAGCAAAUCCCUGUCUACAGUGUGCUGCUCUUUGACAGCUUUUUUAUUGUUCUGUCUUUUUCCCUGUUAGAAGUAUAAAAGUGUUAUGCUGUCAACAUGCAGCCAUUUUUUUAUUUUUUAUUUUUUAUUUUUUUUUUUAUCUUUUAGGCAUAAUAUGUUCCAGUAUCACUAGAUGGCAUUGCAGCAGUCUGGGAUAGAGGGAGAAUUCUAGGUGCUGCUUAAAUAUAUUUGUGUUGCCAUGUGAGGCUGGAGAAAGGGAUAGGUCUGUUCUGUGAACAGCAAUGUGAAAAUUGAAAGUGCUGUAUACGUUGCCAGUUUCCUUUCUAAGUGAACUGGCAUCAAUAAAAAAUUAUGUGAAUGAGCUGAAAUCCCAAAUCAACAGAUUAAAAGACAACUGGUUACAUUCAUGGCGAUCAGUGUAAGUUUUCCAAUUUUUCUUUGUCAGAUUCUUCUCUUAUCCCUCAUGUGACCUGGAGCUGCCUGUAUCCAUCUCAUAGCACUUGUUCUGAAUUGAAUUGUAUUUCCUUGUGGAGUUAUCUUUACCCAAGUAACCACAGAAAAUACACUAUUUUAAAAAAAGUUGCCUGUAUUUUUCUUAAAUGUUCACUUUAACUACAUUUUGAGCGUCUGUCCUUUAAAACACAAUAAAAAAUGCACUUUUCUAGACAAUUAACAGUAUUGGUUUCUAGGUCUUUUUGUGGAAAUUCCCUUGCCAUAUACAGAUGGCUGGAGAAGGCUGUGGUUUCUUGCAUUAAGGCAGGGGCCAAAGGGUUUUCUAUGAUGUAACCUGCUCCCAAAAGGGAGGGACAAACCUUUAGAAAUCAGAGCAGCACUGGUAAAUUAAUUUGUUGGACUGGUGAGUGUGUGGGAUACCUACAGUUUAUUCCUGUCUUUUUAUUUGAUGCCUACCUAGAUAGUUUACUUUUUAUUUUUGCAUUUCUUCCCCCAGAUGUGGAAAAGAUUUUAUUUUCUUUCUUCUAUGGAAGAAAUGCAGUUCUGAGGAAUCCCUCCCAGAAUCAAACACUUCCAUUUGCUGCUUCUCUUCUCAUUUGUGUCGGAUAAGAAGAGAUUGGGGUGUUUGUGCUCCUUGGCAAUUGUGUUUUGUCUGCUGAAGGAGUUUAUUAUGAUGAAUGAACCUGAAAUCCUGGUAAGUACUCUGGUAUAAAGAUGCAGUUAUUUUUAACAUUUACCUAGAAAAUUACAAUUUAUUAUGACUGAUGCAUACUUAUGAUUCACUUAUGAUGGAUUCUUCAGAAUACUUCCUGGUUGUUUACUCAGAACAGCACAUCAAUUCGAGCUUUGAGAGUGGCCAGGUAAAGGUUCUUGAAAAUAACAUGCGAGAAAUGUUGAAAUGAUGUCCUCUUUCACAGAGUUCUUGGCUGUCUCCAUUGCUCUUAGUUAAUAGAAAUUAACUCCGGUCUUGAAACAUGAGGUUUUAGGUCUUAAACUGACACUUGUCUCAUUCUUCUGUUAUAACUUUGUAAAGAGUAAUUUCUAUAAAUGUCUGUUUUUUCUUCAUAUAUUCUUAGUGUGAGAAGAUAGACUUUAAAAAAAAACAACCAACCAACCAAACAAAAAACAACUGCUUUUUUGUUGUUGUUGUUGCCUUUUAUGUCCUACCAAACUAUGUACUGGCUGUAUUCCCCUUGUUGUUGAGGACAGUGAUUCCUU
ensembl:lncRNA